rnacentral:lncRNA from 1 species
GAGAUGGGGUGGGCAGAUGUGGAGGGGUGAAAGAGGAGUUGUGAAACUGAGCCAUCAACUGUGCCUAGAGAUCACUGAAGUGAAGGACCGGAGACACUAAAGCUAAGAGUUAACGUUUAUUGAGCAUCUACAGUAUACCAAGCCCUCUUCUAGAAACAAAUGAACACAAAGUUCUUGGCACAGUGCCUGGCACAGUCAGGCUCCAUCAAGUUUCAUUUCCUUUCUCCCUGCUAUUAAAUGAGAAAGAGGGCAUGAGGAGGUGGGAGUAAAGGAGCCAGAAAGGGAAGGUAGGAGACUGGCAAGAAGAAGCUCUGGCUGCUCUGGGAUGCAACAUGCAGGUUCCCGCAACCCUCCU